rnacentral:rRNA from 1 species
AGCGGCGGACGGGUGAGUAACACGUGGGUAACCUGCCCAAGAGACUGGGAUAACACCUGGAAACAGAUGCUAAUACCGGAUAACAACACUAGACGCAUGUCUAGAGCUUGAAAGAUGGUUCUGCUAUCACUCUUGGAUGGACCUGCGGUGCAUUAGCCAGUUGGUAAGGUAACGGCUUACCAAGGCAAUGAUGCAUAGCCGAGUUGAGAGACUGAUCGGCCACAUUGGGACUGAGACACGGCCCAAACUCCUACGGGAGGCAGCAGUAGGGAAUCUUCCACAAUGGACGAAAGUCUGAUGGAGCAACGCCGCGUGAGUGAAGAAGGGUUUCGGCUCGUAAAGCUCUGUUGGUAGUGAAGAAAGAUAGAGAUAGUAACUGGCCUUUAUUUGACGGUAAUUACUUAGAAAGUCACGGCUAACUACGUGCCAGCAGCCGCGGUAAUACGUAGGUGGCAAGCGUUGUCCGGAUUUAUUGGGCGUAAAGCGAGUGCAGGCGGUUCAAUAAGUCUGAUGUGAAAGCCUUCGGCUCAACCGGAGAAUUGCAUCAGAAACUGUUGAACUUGAGUGCAGAAGAGGAGCGUGGAACUCCAUGUGUAGCGGUGGAAUGCGUAGAUAUAUGGAAGAACACCAGUGGCGAAGGCGGCUCUCUGGUCUGCAACUGACGCUGAGGCUCGAAAGCAUGGGUAGCGAACAGGAUUAGAUACCCUGGUAGUCCAUGCCGUAAACGAUGAGUGCUAAGUGU